ACGGGAGGCAGGAGUGGGGAAUAUUGCACAAUGGGCGCAAGCCUGAUGCAGCAACGCCGCGUGAGGGAAGAAGGUCUUCGGAUUGUAAACCUCUGUUUUUAGUGACGAAACAAAUGACGGUAGCUAAAGAGGAAGCCACGGCUAACUACGUGCCAGCAGCCGCGGUAAUACGUAGGUGGCAAGCGUUGUCCGGAUUUACUGGGUGUAAAGGGUGCGCAGGCGGGACUGCAAGUUGGAUGUGAAAUGCUGAGGCUUAACCUCAGAACUGCAUCCAAAACUGUAGUUCUUGAGUGGAGUAGAGGUAAGCGGAAUUCCGAGUGUAGCGGUGAAAUGCGUAGAUAUUCGGAGGAACACCAGUGGCGAAGGCGGCUUACUGGGCUCUAACUGACGCUGAGGCACGAAAGUGUGGGUAGCAAACAGGAUUAGAUACCCUGGUA
rnacentral:rRNA from 1 species